AGGUUUUCGUCACAUACGUCGGUUAUCUAUGACGGCAUAACAAACCACGCUGGAAUCCAAAUGGCUUGAAAUAGUAUUCAUAAUUUCUCGUGUGUCUCACUGCUGUUGAGUGCUUCUGCAGAUAUGAUCCAGGCUUAGCAGAUUGCGAUGGAGGUUACUUAUUGGUCUGUGGUCAGCUGGUGCCUUCACUGAGAGCUGAUUGGCGGGGGAUGGUCUCAUCUGCAAAUCUGUUCUUCACUUGACUGUACCUUGGACAUGCUUUCCUGUGUAUGUGUAUCAAGCUCUUUUAAAGAGAUGAAAUGAGGUGACUUCAGAGGCUCUGACCUUCUGGGACUCUGGGAUUCUAUUGCUUAUUAUGAACCACAUUGAAGAAUCUUCCAGCUGUACCCUCAAUGUGACAGGAGAACUGCUACAGACCCAAGCAGCUACAAAGUUGAUCCUAUAAUCCUGAACUGAGCCUAUGUGUCAAUUUCAAGUAUUUAGUGACUUCACUCUUGCUGGUUAGAAAAUUACCUGUCAUUAUUAUUAUUAAUUAUGAAGAUCAUUAAAAGGCUGUUUCUGUUGAAA